GGGAAGUCGAUGGUCAGUUCUGUUUGGUUGUGGCUGGUAGUGUGAAACCACUAGGAAAUGUGUCUAGUUCCAAGAUUCUUCUCCUUAACCAUUCAUGAACUUCUCAAACAUCCACUAGGACAUGUUGGAAGAACGUCCACUGGAAACGACACUGAAAUCUGCAUCUUAGCAGCUGUGUGUGUUUUGUGAAGUUGAACGGACACCAGCAUGGCCCACCGCACCAUCUCCAUCCUUCCAGAAUCAAAUGCUGCAUCGAGUCUCGACUCGAGAAAACACACUGGACCGACACCGGGAGAUGACAUGGCUCCUCAAAUCAUCACCGACUGUGGAAACUUCACACUGGACUUCAAGCAGCUCGGAUUCUGUUCCUCUCCACUCUUCCUCCAGACUCUGGAACCUUGAUUUCCAAAUGAAACGCAGCAUUCACUUCCAUCUUCCCCGUGAUUGUGUGUGUACUGACCCAGACUGAGAGAUUAAAGACUCAGGAAACCUUCGCAGGUGUUUUGAGUUAAUGAUCUGAUUAGAGUCUUCUCAGGUCGACAUUUCUGUAUUAUAAAUUCUUUACUCUAA